rnacentral:rRNA from 1 species
UACGGGGGGGGCAAGCGUUGUUCGGAAUUACUGGGCGUAAAGGGCUCGUAGGCGGCCAACUAAGUCGGAUGUGAAAUCCCCAGGCUCAACUUGGGAACUGCAUCCGAUACUGGAUGGCUUGAAUCCGGGAGAGGGAUGCAGAAUUCCAGGUGUAGCGGUGAAAUGCGUAGAUAUCUGGAGGAAUACCGGUGGCGAAGGCGGCAUCCUGGACCAAUUCUGACGCUGAGGAGCGAAAGCCAGGGGAGCAAACGGG